GAGUUGAUCCUGGCUCAGAACGAACGCUGGCGGCAUGCCUAACACAUGCAAGUCGAACGAAGCCUUCGGGCUUAGUGGCGCACGGGUGCGUAACGCGUGGGAAUCUGCCCUUGGGUUCGGAAUAACAGUUAGAAAUGACUGCUAAUACCGGAUGAUGUCUUCGGACCAAAGAUUUAUCGCCCAAGGAUGAGCCCGCGUAGGAUUAGCUAGUUGGUGAGGUAAAGGCUCACCAAGGCGACGAUCCUUAGCUGGUCUGAGAGGAUGAUCAGCCACACUGGGACUGAGACACGGCCCAGACUCCUACGGGAGGCAGCAGUGGGGAAUAUUGGACAAUGGGCGAAAGCCUGAUCCAGCAAUGCCGCGUGAGUGAUGAAGGCCUUAGGGUUGUAAAGCUCUUUUACCCGGGAUGAUAAUGACAGUACCGGAGAAUAAGCCCCGGCUAACUCCGUGCCAGCCGCCGCCGU
rnacentral:rRNA from 1 species